UUGACACAGACCAUCCCUCACCGUUCGCCAUUGCCCCGGGGGUCAACAUGCGGUCAGCAGUCUUGCACACCCACUUCCAUAAUUCAAACAGCCGAGUGUAGACCCGGGACUCGUUUGUCACACACAAGGAGAGAGUGACGCCAGCCCUUGGCCCCCGCCCCGCCAAGACGGGCUCUCACAGCUCAUCAUCAUCGGCCCCCGACGGGUAAUGAACCUAAAUGACCUGUCACCGGCAUAGAGAUCUAUAGUAAGUACGUCCGAGAUUUGUAGCGCCGGCCAGUCCUUGCAUCUAUUCCGCCAAACCUGCUGCUGGUGCUUUUGCGCAGCCAUUAUAGAUUAUAACAGGAAGUCUCGAGUAAAUACAAGUGAGACAAAGUGGCGUUUUUGUUUUUAACAACGCAGCCACUGAAUCCACCAGGCGACGCUCAAUUAUCACUUGCGCUUUGAUGCAAAAAAAAAAAAUAACUGAAUUCAUCCACAGCCCGAAUGCGGCAUCACUUUCAACGGAUGCAGAAUUAGAGCACGGAUGCUCCGUAAUGGAGGUUUAAAUGGUUGUGAGGCAAAAAUAACAACAUAAAUGAAGUAGAAAAAAACAAUAAAAACACAGUAAUCCCGUUAUUCGUCGCCUCUCUCACUGGGAUGGAUUGUCAUGCAUGAUGAAUCAUCAGCUUCCUGCUUUUAAGCAGCAGCGUAGCAUUGCAUAGCAUUUUCUGUUUUUGCUAGCAUAAAGUUCCGGCCAAUGCUCGCUAGGUCUCAAACAACGCGAUGUGUUUUUUCUCCCUUCCUUUCGGUAGGUACUAGGAGAUAUAGUAUAUAGUCGGCUAAGUUAAUAGAGUUUGUGUGCAGAGGUUUGUUUUCCUUUUGCCAAGUUAUCAAAAUCACGAUUGUAUGUACCUGACAGUAAAACAAAACAAAACAAAAAGUAUAUUUUUACUUUUGUACUUAAAUACCUGUCAGUCUCUUUACUUUUGAGUGCGGGGGUUGAAUCAGAACUAGACAAGUAUCUGUACUUCUACUUAAGUACAGUGUGUGAGUACUUUUGCUACCUGUGCUUUUACAUUUUCAAUUGAGAGUAGAAGCACUGGAGGGGAGUGUUGUAUUAAUAGACCCAUGUCAUUGACGAGUCUGCGGGGAAAAGAUCAUUUCUCGCGCGUAUCGAUCAGCGUGAAGGUCCACUCCGAUUUGCAUCGACAACAGCAACGAGGUCCAAUUGAAAGUGAGCAUGUUUUCUAGACUGGACACACCAGGGCCGCGUCACUCUGAAGAAAGACUCAAUGCUGGGAAGGUCAACACUGACCAUUACACGGAUUGAUGAAUGGUGCUAUCCACUGGAUCGAUCUGUCUGUCCGUUCGCCUACCAAAAUAGCAGACUACUGACUAACCGACUGUACCUACUAUGCCCUAUCUGUCCGUCCAACUGCCAACCUAGCUACCUACCAUGUCCGUCGAUCAAUCCAACCCUUUGUCCUUCUGUCCUUCGGUCGACCCUGAAACCUCCUACGACCUUUCUGUCCAUGCAUCUGCCAAACUGGAUACCUUAACUGUUUUUCUGUCCAUCCAUACACCUACCAACUAUGUUCGUCCAUCAAUCCAACCAAACAAACCUAGCUACCCUUAGUGUUCGUACAUCCAUCAAUCCAAAUAUCUGUCCUUCGGUCCACCUCCCCACCUAUUAGUCAAGUCAACCUACUAAGACCUAUCUAUCUAGCCACCUGACAACCCACCUACCAACUACGACCCAUCUGUCUGUCUCCACCUAACAACUUAGUGACAGUACCUUUCAUGACCUUAUCUGUUUGCCUCUCCGUCCACCUAGCAGCCUACCUACUAUGUCCAUCCAUCAAUCCGACCAUCUGCCUUUCGGUCCUUCUACAAACCCAGCUGACUCCAGUGUUCUUCCACUAAUCAAUCAUCUGUCCAUAUGUCUUUUGGUCCACCCGCCAACCCUACUACGACUUACCUGUCCAUCCACCUGCCAACCUUAUUAUGACCUAUCUGUGUGUCCACCUAACAACCUACCUACUAUGUCUGUGAAUCAAUCCAACCAUCUGUCCAUUUGUUCUUUGGUCCACCAACCAAACAACUACAAACUUCCAACCACCUACCAACCAUCCACCUUCCAACCUAGCUACUAAAUAUGUCCGUCCAGCAAUCCAACCAUCUAUGUAUCUGUCCUUUGUUUCACCUACCGACCUAAUAUGCUUUAUCUGCCCGUCUUUUUAUCAGUCGAUUCUAUCCGUCUGUCUAUCCAUCCAUCCACUUAACAGCCUACAUACUACAAUCCAUCCUUCUGUCUGGAAAUUGACCAACCAACUACAACUGAGAUAGCUGCCUGUAUGUCCGUCCAUCCGUGUGCCUUACCUAAUGUCUCAUUUGGGAACUCAGUACUGUAUUCUAAAUGUUCCGUAACAAAAAGGUCUCAAUGCAUGAAACAUUAAACCCAAAAUAUUUAGUAUCUUAAAUGAGCAUGCUUGAAAUAUACUGUAAAUAUUAUAUUAAUAGUCCUGUUAUGUUCAUAAUAUGUCGUUGAAAGGUUGAAUUUUAAGGAGUGUCCUAUAAAGAAGUAGGACGAAGAUGAGUGUGUGUGUGUGUGUGUGUGUGUGUGUUGCAGGCAUUAUUAUUGUGUUCCCUUAACGCUGGAACUGAUUAUCAGAGACCAAAGCAAUUCCUUGUGUGUGUGUGUGUGUGUGCGUGUGCACGUGUGCAUGCGUGUGUGCGUGUUCAGCCAGCAAUCAGCAGGCGGGUCAUUUGGGGUACGCAUAGCACAGCAUUACAAAGCGCUGUCAGCGUCAUGAUAAAGCACAGAAACAACAAAUAAGGCAUAAAAUAAAUAAAUACAAUAAAACACACGUGUCGAGCUACGUGAAGAGAUGACAUGAGAGUACAAAUCUUAAACAGAACAGCUUCCUCACCCUCUCAACGAGCUACGAGGACCGAUUCGAGCAUGCACUGCUAAUGGGUGGGCUGCUUCGCUGCUGAGAACUCGUUAGUGUCAAAGAUGAAAAAGAAACUCCAGUCUCUCACCAAAUGUCACUCGGUGGUUUACGCCAGAAACGCCUCCGACUGUUUCUGUGUGAUUACGCAAAAUGUAGCGCCUUUGCGUAUCAUGAGCAGAAAAAAAGUGCUGAGAAACAGUAAUGUAUGCAAAUCUAAGUCUGUCAAGGGUGCAACUGAGCUUGCAUGCUUCCUGACAGCAUUCUUCAACUCCCUGUGUUGGUGCAUUUCUCCAUCAUGCUGCCAGAGAAAAAAGACCGAUACUGAUUUUUUUUCUGUUUAAAAAAAAAUACAAAAUCAGCAGGCUCUUAUAAAGUGAUUGACAGCCUGGUUGUGAGUCUGCAAUCUAAUGCCAGCUCAAAUAAUGCUAUCAUGCCUUGUUUUUGUUUUGUUUUUUUGUAUGCAGUAGCUUUUAUCACAUUUAAAGUGACACUAAAGCAGAGUACAACACACAUACUGACAGUCUGGCUAAAUUUGAGCAUUUUUCCUCCCUUGUGGUCAAAGUCACCAAUGGCAUGAUUGUCAGAUGUCUCUGAAUGAUUAUCCUGAGUGAUUAUGCUGCGGUGCGGGGAGUGUUAAGAUACAUACACACCGACCAUAGGGGGAAAUUGGAGCAUUUUCCUUACCUUGCGAUCAACGUCAGUAAAGGCCCGAUAGUCAGAAGCCUCUAAAAUAUUAUCCGGAGAGAUUAUCCUGUGGUGUUGGAGUGUAUUAAGAGUAAUAUUUCCUCCCUCAUUCGCUCAUGGCGGACAAUCGUAAAUGUUAAACAUGUUCAAUAUAUGUGACGUGAUUUAUUUAAAGGGCACAAACGCGCAUUUGUUGACAAGUUCAUACUGAGCCGACAAAGGCUACUAAGCAGCUCAAAAUAAACAAAGCCUUGGUUCAAAUUUAGAACCUUCAAACUUGAAAUGAUAUAAUUAUUUCACUUAUCUACGUGUAACUCACUUCGCAGUGGACGUUAUGGGAAGACGCAAUGUUUUCUAAAUAAAACAAAAGCACGGUCAGGAAAGCUAAAGUAGCUUGGCUAAUGAAGGUACAUGAUGAGCGCUGGCAGAACUUGUUAAUGUUCGAACAGCAUAAUAGAGUGAAAGGAAUAGCAACAGAUCUUUUUUUCAAGUUGUGUCAGAAGCACAGCACACAGUCACACUAGCGCUGAUGCUAAAUGUAAGAUAUGACCAGAGGUGUCCUGGCUGGUCCAACAGUAUGAUUCAACAUGCGGCUUUUUGGAAAGCCAGAGUACCAACGCAGUUAAACAGUCUUCUGGAUUAAUUCAAGAACAGAGACUUAAUGUCUGCGUUCCCUGCACAGUAUUAAAGAUGGUGUUUUUGUUUGUUUGUUUGUUUGUUUGUUUGUUUGUUUGUUUGUUUUUACGACGAUUAGAGUUCCAGUAGAUUCUGUUGUGUGUUCUGUUUCUAUGCAUUUCUCCCUAACACAUUUAGAUUGCAAUGCAUUUGUACAAAUAAAGGCCUCCUAACCCAUAUAUUUUUGGCAAUAAGUUGUUAUUGUAAAAGAAACUUGCCAAGAAAGUAUAACUUGUUUUUUUUUUUUUUGCCGAGUUGCAAAGGCGCUGCAGAUUCGCAGGAAGGAGACGCACACUCGGCCGUGUCGGGCAACGCGCCGUGUUGACUGGCAGCCGCUGCGAGGCAGGUCUUCAGCAGCCCGUUAAACAAAAAGUGAGUUGCCGGCUCGCGUGUCGUGCUCUUGACAUCUGCCGAGCAUCUGUUUGACUGCGCCGUUGCCUUCCGGCACCAAUCCGGUCAUCUCACACGCAAAGAUUUUGGAAAAGCACAGAACGUCCCUGGAAAAGGGAGCCAAACAACACCAGCAACGUUGGCUGACUUGCAGCUACAACGUGGAAGCUGGCAGGGAGACACUGAGAGGGCUCCUGGGGGACUUGCGGGACCUGCUUAAGUCAGCACGGACGGACGCUUUUGCUGACUGUGCCUCGGCGAGGCCUCCACGCCGCAGGAAUAUCAUUACAGUACAGUUUGUCCAUGGCCUGCUGCUUGGUGUCGAUCAUGCGCGUCACGUCGAUGUUGUUGUUGGCGAAGGUCUCCUUGGCGCUGUCAAUGGUCGACGGUGGCAGGGUGCGCGUGCGGCUGAAGAUCCAGGCGAAGUCCAGAUGGAAGAGACGC